UACGUAGGGUGCAAGCGUUUGUCCGGAAUUAUUGGGCGUAAAGAGCUCGUAGGCGGUCUGUCGCGUCGAAUGUGAAAACCCGGGGCUCAACCCCGGGCCUGCAUUCGAUACGGGCAGACUAGAGUUCGGUAGGGGAGACUGGAAUUCCUGGUGUAGCGGUGAAAUGCGCAGAUAUCAGGAAGAACACCCGUGGCGAAGGCGGCUCUCUGGAACGCAACUGACGCUGAGACGCGAAAGCGUGGGGAGCAAACAGG
rnacentral:rRNA from 1 species